rnacentral:rRNA from 1 species
AUGGCUGACCGACCACCUCGUGGCCGGGAUAAAACGGCAUAUCAGCCCGAAUACCAGCUCGCACCCCCACGCCAAUACACUAUGGCCCGGGGCAAUAUGCAAGACCUGCAAAAUAUACUAGAAAACAAAGCAGGACAGCCAAGAUCGAUCUACGGAUCGCGGGGGCGCGCCCCAACACGCGACGAUGACCGUCACGCCGGAUACACUAUCAACAAGUCCGGCCGGCCCGAAUACAGCCACCCAGACUCAUUCAAACUGCGCAGCCACAUAGCCCGGCACAGAGGCGCCGCACACCCCCUCUGUUUCACUGAUGAAGUGAUGGAUCAUGAAUUCCCAGAAGGGUUCAAACCCGUAAACAUCAAAUCAUACGAUGGCACAACAGACCCCGCAGUAUGGAUCGAAGAUUUCCUUCUCCACUUUCACAUGGCCCGCGGAGACGAUCUACAUGCCAUCAAAUAUCUUCCCCUUAAACUCAAAGGGCAUGCCCGACAUUGGCUAAAUAGUCUGCCGGCAAAUUCCAUUGGCAGUUGGGAAAACCUGGAAGACGCGUUCCUCGACAACUUCCAGGCACAUAUGUGCGACCACCGGACGCCGAUGACUUGA